rnacentral:rRNA from 1 species
UGCCAGACUCCUACGGGAGGCAGCAGUGGGGGAUAUUGCACAAUGGGGGAAACCCUGAUGCAGCGACGCCGCGUGGGCGGAGAAGUAUUUCGGUAUGUAAAGCCCUAUCAGCAGGGAAGAAGAAAUGACGGUACCUGAGUAAGAAGCACCGGCUAAAUACGUGCCAGCAGCCGCGGUAAUACGUAGGGGGCAAGCGUUAUCCGGAUUUACUGGGUGUAAAGGGGGCGCAGACGGCAGCGCAAGCCAGGAGUGAAAGCCCGGGGCCCAACCCCGGGACUGCUUUGGAAACUGUAUGGCUGGAGUGCUGGAGAGGCAAGCGGAAUUCCUAGUGUAGCGGUGAAAUGCGUAGAUAUUAGGAAGAACACCAGUGGCGAAGGCGGCUUGCUGGACAGUAACUGACGUUGAGGCUCGAAAGCGUGGGGAGCAAACAGGAUUAGAUACCCGAGUAC